rnacentral:rRNA from 1 species
GAUGAACGCUGGCGGCGUGCCUAAUACAUGCAAGUCGAACGCUGGAGAUCUAGCUUGCUAGAUCGAAGGAGUGGCGAACGGGUGAGUAAUACAUAAGCAACCUACCCACGAAGACUGGGAUAAUCUCUGGAAACGGGGACUAAUACCGGAUAGGUAAUCGGAAGGCAUCUUCUGGUUAUUAAAGGUUAAAAACACUGGUGGAUGGGCUUAUGGCGCAUUAGUUAGUUGGUGAGGUAACGGCCCACCAAGACGAUGAUGCGUAGCCGGCCUGAGAGGGUGAACGGCCACAUUGUGACUGGGACACGGCCCAGACUCCUACGGGAGGCAGCAGUAGGGAAUUUUCGGCAAUGGGGGCAACCCUGACCGGGCCACGCCGCGUGAGUGAAGACGGCCUUCGGGUUGUAAAGCUCUGUUGUAAGGGAAGAACGGUAGAUAGAGAAUAUCUAAGUGACGGUACCUUACCAGAAAGCCACGGCUAACUACGUG